UAUUAAUUCUAUGUCCAUAAUCAAUCAUUGUCUUCGCUACACGUUGGUCCUCGUUGUUGUCGUCGUCGUCUCCGUCCCUCCACCCUCACCCAGUAGCCCCGUGAUCGGUGGGCUUUGCUCAUUUCUGUGAGACGCAGAAUUUAUUUUGGCGUUGGAGAAGUGUAAAAUAUAUAUAGUUUUCAUCGUGGAUCAAGCCAACUCCGUCGCCUACCGACCAACCCCGUGGCAACAGCAGCGUUGGUACCUUUAUUCUCCCCAGGUUCAAUCAGUCCGUAGCUGCACCCCUGAAGUUUUUAAAAAUUACAGGAGAUGAUUGAUCAUAACCAUCUAAUUUGGAAUAAUGGACAUGGACUUGGAAUGAAGUAAUGAAUUGAUAUGCCUAAAAUUACAACUGGCUAUGUGUACUGGAAGGAAAUACAAACAUUGGUGCGUCAAUCUUGUUAAUAAGAUUAUUAAUAUGAAAUUUCAGCUUUUUCCCUGAAAUAUGUCUCUCUUGGGGACUUGGAAAUUUCUUAAGAUGCUAUAUACUUUCAAAUCUAUGUACCAGUCCGUUGGAAUUUACUCAAUUUUCGAGUUAAGCAAAAGUUAGUG